AAUGAGUCUUCUCUGUGAACUCUAAGUUUUAGCAUUCCUGCUCUCCAGGGGCAGACCUUUUAGUGGACAACUGAGACUCAGAAGUAGCAGGAAUUUAGGCAAAGCUUUCAUAAAUAGGCUAGUACCAUGAUGAAUGUUGGGUGGGGAAGAAACUUACAAAAAUAUCUCUCAAUUAACAGGGGCUUCUCAAUGGAUUGUAGAGACAGGCAUUUUCUCACUGAUUUAUAGGGGACACGGGUAGACUGGAAGAAGAAGAAAAAGCACCUAAUUGGCAAUUAAAACAUUUUAUCAAGCAAAAGUAUUGACCAGAAAAUAUUUCCAACUGCUCCCAUCAAAUCAAAACAGAAAAGUAAAGAUAUUUCAGUAUAAGAACAUAGGCAAUUUUCCUGGUUUUGGCCAGGGCAGAAUUAUUUUUUCCACAGCAGCCAUGAGAAAGUGGAGCCUAGAGCUAUGCAAGCUUGUCAAGGUUGUUAUUCUACACCAUUAGAUCACCAUCAGCGGCAAGAGUAAGGGAUUCCCACUUCUGAGAAGAAGGUGGGUGUGGCUUGCCAUCUGGAAAAAAACCGUGGCAGCGUAGAGGGUCUGUCUGCCAUUGUUUUUCACUUUCCUGGACUUCCUGAGCAUUUUGCAUCCCUAUUGUAGAAGCCCAAAGCAGUAACCCUGAGUUGCAGCUCUGCUGAGAAGUGCUGCAGUGCUGCUGGAGGAGUGCCAGAUGAAGGCCAGUGGGGACCAAUAAAUGAAUAAAAUUCAGAGCAUAAAUAAGAGCACAGGAAAGUUGAAAAUGUGCUGCUGUGGACUCAGGUAUCUUCUCUAAAGACAGAGAAGUCCUUUUGGAAAUGACAUGGUGCAAUGCAUACAUAUGGAGUUAUGUUCCUGAACAGUGCUGUAUCAAGACUGCUUCUUGACUGCUUUGGACUUAGUUAGCAUAUGCAAUUGAAUAAAGAGGAACUCUUUUGCCAGUCAUUCCCUUCCUACCAAGGACACCUUGCCCCCAAGAGGAAACAAAUUGAACCUGUCCAGACAAGAGGAACUUCUGGUGGUUGCAGGUUAUUGGAGAUUAGAAGAGGAUUAAAGGCCAUGGAGGUCUCAGCCAGGAAAACUAGAGACCUUCUAGGCACCAGAGUAAAGUGACCAUUGACACACAGCUCAAACCUGCAAUAAAUCUACAGAAGAAGCUAUGAUCUGCUCGCAAAGAUAAUGCUGGCAGACGAAUUCUGUGUGAACAUUUUUUAUUUCUACUGUCUCACCUAAUUAUUUUGAUUUUCCUCAGAAGGUGAAUUUUUCUAAAUAAUUUUUUAACAAAAUCUGGCUGAACUGGAAAGCCUUCUGUAUCUGGGGAGAAGUAGCCUGUGAUGGGUAAUUUAGCUAGAUUGAUCUCAAAGCCCUGGCUGACCUGUCAUGCUAACAUGAUCCUAAUUGAUAUACAAGAACCAGAAACUCAGAGUUUGUACUAACUUUUUGCUGUAUGCGCCUUCAGGUUUAGUUUUGCCAGUGAUUCAGACCAAAGACUUGCUAAAGACUUGCUGCAUGUACAUGCAGCCUCUGUAUCUGUUCCAUAGAAACCGGUGGUAUACAGAACUGAAGUGCUUCCACCUCAAAUCUUGGACACAGGUGAUGCAUGCUUCUGGAUUUGGGCUCUGGGAAACCUGCAUCCUCUUGUUUAAAUACAGCAAGUGACACCAGAAACAUCUCCUGCCUGAGCAAAGGUGGGCAGUGGGAUGCAGAUAUGGUGCACUUCACAGUAUGACCACAAAGGUCUUCUCUGGAGGAGCAAGAUGAAUCCCUUCUGUGUUAUUAAGGAUUUUUGGGGAGAAGGGCAGAUAACUUAUUUCUGCAAUACAAAACUUGCGGGAUAUCUCACUUCUAUAGCAGAGUUGAAAAAACACACAAACCAGAAAUGUUCCAGGGAUUACAUGUGUGAUGCAAUGACUUAGGACAAAAGAAGAAGUGCUGUGUGUUAGAAUAUCUAAUACAAACUGCAUAUUUCCAAGGUGAAUAUUUGUUCCACCUCUAAGCCGAGUUUGCACAAGAAAAGGGACUGCUUUAAUUAUACUGUUUUGUUCUGUCCACCAAGAGGUUCUCUUGAAUUUAAAGAAAAACAGUGCCAAAUUAUGUUUGUUUUCUUUAAAAAAAAAAAAAAAAAAAUUGUUCCCUUCUAUAUAAAUAUGUGAUGAUUUUAAUCGCCUUUUAAGUGAAAUUCAGGGAUUGUUUAGGCAUAAGGGAGUUCCAAACUACAAAACUCAAUCUGUGCAAACCAGACCAUGGAGAAAUGCAGUGUUAUUUACUGAUGGCUUAGGGAAACGAGCACUUUAAAAUCUUAAAAAAAAAGAAGCCUGUAUGCUUAAGAAAUAUAAAUUCAACAGAAAAUAAAAGCCUCUACCAAACAAAGCAAAAUUUGACCAUCCAACUUUACAGUAAAGGAAGACUAUAAAGAAUUCAUUGGUGAAAUACUGGUCCAGGUAAAAAUUAAAAUACAUGGUGGAAGAAAGACUGAUUUGGUGACCUCUUUGGAGAGGAAAGAGAAAAAUCCUGUCAUGUGUAUAGGCUUCAAAGUGGAAACAAUAUCUUCAGUCUUUCAAGAUCACCUUCACACCCUGGAAAGCCCCUAAGUUUGCCUUGGAGAAGAUGGCAAUUAAGAUAUUAGUUAGGUGCAUGGCUUUGUCCAUGGUGAUCUUUUUUCUUGCUAGCAGUGACUGAAAUAUGCCAAGAUUUUUUCUUCUUUUAAAGGCUGGGGUGGGGGGGGGGUUACAGCAGUCAAGGUCCACCCAAGGACCAGUGCAGAAGUGUGCCCAAGGCAGAAGUGGGAAAACCAAGUAACUCUGCUGCCCUGAUAUGUAAACUCUUGGUGUGCAUGGGGAGAACUUGCUUGUUCUGGGCUGGAGGUAGGCAGGGCUAAAACUAAAGCUAAAAUAUUUGUUCAAUAACUCAAGACAAACAAAAUUUGGUGCUCAAAUGAUGGGAGAACUUUGAGCACAAAUCCACUCAUACUGAAGUAAUCCUGUCUAUGAGGCCAACAUUGUUUAGGAAAAGAUAUUAGAAAUAAGAGCUUUUGGAACUGUAGCAAAUCUGGAAGAAAUAAAGAAAGGACAGAUAGGAAUUUGCUGUUGGGAAGAGCUUGGAGGGAGACCAAAUAUGGAAGUAUGGCAAAAAUGUGAGUCUGAACUCAAAAAGAAUAGGGAAUAAGUUUUAAAACUUUACAUGGGAAAAAAGAGUAAGGAAUGGAUCUUUGCUCAGCAGGAGUGUGGAUGCCAACAGACAGCAGUAAUGCUGGCUUGCAUGCCUUGGCUCAUCACAGUGCUGAAGGGUCAUCCUGCUCCACAGACAUGCUGUCCAGAAUUGCAGAGGGAAACAGAUUUAUGUUUCCAUACUAUCAGAACUGGGACUGAGUAGUGCUCAGGUAUGUGAUUCAUUAGACUUAAAAGCUGUAAUUAAUAGCUUUAUAGUCAAGCAUAAUAGGCUGCAUUAUUAUAUUAUUGUUAUAUUGCCAAGAUAAUUUAUUCUUUUACUUCUCCUCCAAUUUCCUAAUGGUUUUCUCAUUAGUCAAUAAAUAUCUUGAUCAGCUGGCCUCUUAUUUAGCUAUGGGAGCGUGGUACUGUGGCUGCAAAGUGGUGUUGGAAAGGAUGCUGUCUUUCAAGGGCUAAAUGUGUAUCACUCUGGAAGACCUUAAGUGUCAGUGCAAUCAUCAUUUGCUGAGGUCUGUCUUUGUGGUAGCCCCCACUUGUCUUCCACAGUCAGGGACAAGUGUAACCGAAUAUAUACAAGUGAGACCAAGCCUUCAUCUUACCAUUGUAAAAAUUAGUGCUGCUCUUAAAAUGAAGAUGUCUUUUUGCCAUUAGCAAACUUCAGCUAAUGAUGCAUUUGGGAGUGAAUGUUAGCUGUCACGCAAGGCAACACACAAACAAAACCCCAGUUGUUUCUUGUUCCUCAGGCAACAUUUUGCAACAUUUUAUUCAAGAUCAGAUCCUACUUUAUUCUAGGGAUUCUCGUAUCAACUACUUUAAUGAUGAUUAGCCCAGGGACUUUGAGAACCGUGGCUAGUGUGGGAGACUUGGUGGAAGAGGCUCGUCUGACUUCACCUGGCUUUUUCUCAUUUGUGUCAGUCAGGAGAAAACCCAUUAUGGUUUUUACAUACUUUCCUUAUACUCCUCACUGUCUCAAUUAUGCUGCUUCUCAGUUAAAAUUAUUCCACAAAUAAAAAUUCGUGUUAUUAUCUCUGUUAAAUGCUUCAGUCAAGUUUUUUUUUCUUUUGCUUUUAAAGACAAUUUUUUCUUUCACAACAAAUUUGAAAUACUUUAAAAACAUUUAUUGUCUUUUAAAGACCUUAAUGUACUCUAAAAGACUUUCAAUUUGUAAGAGAUUUACAAAGAGGACAAAAGAUGCUACAAUGACAGGGAAGAGAGAAUAAUGAGAAUUGGACAAGAAGAAAAGCUGUAUUUAACAUAGUCUGGCUGCCCAUAAUUUCUUUCUACUAGAUGCCCUUUGGCUUAUGGUGUUCUGAUACCUAACUUGCUUCAUGAAGAAUCUUCUUUUAAUACUACUUUGAAAUGAAUAAGUAAACGCUCAUAUUGAUUUGAAGGCCUGCUUUAUGGGCACUUUUAAUGACUUACAUUCAGUUAGAAAAAACACAUGACUGGCCGAAAAACCACCAAAACUGCAUCUUUAGCAGCAACAUUCUUAGGUAACCUGUAAAUUCAGACUUAUAUUCUGCUCUACCCUCUGCUGUUUGGAGUUUUUAGAUACCUUGGUUUCGCACAGGCUAUAAUCCAGCCACAUCUCAUUGCAAGGUUUUACAGCCAAACCUUGUGCCAACCUGAUAGUGAGGCCCUGGAAAAAUGCUAAGAUAAAACUCUGAAAUGUUAAGCCUUGUGUUUUACCUGUGUAAGUAGUAUAAUUGGUAGAUGUGAUGAUUGUUUAGUAAUUAAAAUAAUUAUUGAAUAAUCGUAAGAAGAACAAUGAGAAACUGUUUGUUCCUAGUCUAAGGUGGCUAUGCUUGGCUGAAAUCUAUGUAUACUAUAGAACAAUGUAAGUUUAAUAAUUAACAUGAAAGUUAUAUAACAAUAGAAUAUAAAAGCAUGUCCAUCCCAAACCUAUGUCGGAGUCAGAUUUGGGUUUGUACCCCUGACACCCAGAGCUCUUCAAUAAAAGCACCUGCAUAUAAUCAUUUCUCGUGUUCCUGAAUGCUAACAAACCUUCUGCUGAAAGUUCAUGGGAUGCUGACAGAAGCAUCUCACUGGAAAAGGACUUCAGUAAGGUAGUGACAGAGAAAGAAAAAUUUUAUACUUUGAGUUUACACAUGUCUUUUAUAGGGGAGGGAAUGAAAAGAUCCAAACUGAGAGCCACAUUUAUUAAACAGGCAAGAGAAAAAUAAGCAGUUGGCACAAAAAUUGAAGCAUGAGUAUGUGUGCACAAACAUAUGUAUUGAUUCAAAGUGUCAUGGUAGUUGAUUAGACACUUUGUGACUUCUUUUGCAAACUAUAGAUCAGUUUAGAAGUAGUGGCUGGUGGAGAAUGCUAACCACUUAAUCAUAUGUGCAGUAAGAAGUUUCCAAGGGUCUCUUCACAUUUGUUAUCACAAAGCUCUGUAAAAUUUUGGAAGUCUUUUCUGUAUUUCUAGGUCAAAAAGGAUGGAUUUUGUAAAGCAGAAGAAAAAAUUGGUCACAUAAAAAUAUUUCAAAGUUAUCCUUCAAUGAUAUGUCAGUUUUUCACUCAAUUGUAGAAGUAAUAAAAAUGUGGACUCUUGUAACAAGAACUGCUCUAAAUGAAUGAUAUUAUUACAUAGUGUGCACUUGACCUCAUAUGAUUUUUAAAAUUCUUAAUGCAAUUUUUGAUAAUGAAAGGCGAAGACCUCACAGAGCUCUUUGCUUCUACUACAAUGAAAACUAUAUAAAAAUUGUGUACAGAUUUUCUUUUUAUUACUGUGUAAUAAUUAAAUCGUCUAUGAAGGUAUUUUUUUUUGUCACAGUGUAAGAAAAUAACAUCUUUAUCUUCUAAUCCAAAUGGUUGUCCAAAAGGAAGUAAACAAUACCUUCAAGUACUGGAUUUGGAACUCUUGUUUGAUACUUUUUUUUAGCUAAAAUACAUGUGCUAUAAAAUUCGAAGUUUGGUGUGUCUUCUAACAAUAAAUGAAAUCUACCUCUGCAUGACCUAGCUCUGAUCUGCUAUCAGCCUUAGGCAGCUUCUCUGUUUGUAACUCUCUUAAAUAUGUAAAGAAACUUAACUGGUUUCUUUCAGUGAAUCUGUAUGUCUGAAAAAAACCUUCAAAAAGCUACUUUUAUCCUUGGGCAGAUUCAUUUUAGGACAUUCUUUCUGCACAACAAUAUCUGUACCAGAAAGUUUAAACUAACCUAAAUGGGAGAUGAGAGGCAGGUGUUGGAUAGUUGAUUGGGAUAGCAGCAGAGCUGCAUCAAUCAUCAGACCAAACCUGAGGCUAAUUUGUAGGCUGAAGAAGUUGUCUGUGCUGACUUAGCUUAGCUAAGAUUAAUAUACUGCUUCAUAUCCCCAAGACAGAUAAUCUCACCUUUCCUCUCAUUUUUCAUCUAUCUUCUUGGUCCUUUGGUGCUUUGUUUUCUUUUUCUUUUCAUUUUCUUUUUAUUUUUUUUUUUCUCAUUAUUGGUAGACCUGUUAUAACCCACUAUUUUUCCACUUUUAAUUCAAGGGAGGCUGACUUUCACCUCUCUCUGGGGGCUUCAUACUAUCUUAUACAGCUCUUGAGACCUCCUGCUGGGGAAGCAAUCACCACAGCAAAUCAGGACGAGAUUCAGACUCUGCUGCUCUUCAGAAAACAGCUGAAGUGUACUGAUCACUCCUUCCUCUCAUCUCUCACUGUGUGCUCAGAGGGAGAGAGUCCUUUAUAUUCCUGUUUUCAAAUCCCUGUAUAGGACCAGUGCUGAAAUCCCCAAAGCUGAGCUACUUCGGGCUACUUAGCCUUUUGUCCGUAGUUAUAUGAAGGGAAAGAGGAAGGUUUCAAUGCCUUUCUGCUGAAUCAUCUUAGUUAGAUGGAAAGACUUGUAUGACUGAGACUGGAUUUAGUGUGGGGGGAGCUCGAGGUAAUUGGGUGGGGAGAUAUGAAAUACAGAAAAGGAAGAGGGAGCUGCUCUGUGUUGUAAAUGUCAGAAGCACUAAGGCCCAAGUCUGUCAAGUUCAGAGAUGAGACGUAAGCCUGAAUCUUUCUUAAUUCAGCAAGGUUCUGUGAGUGGUUUUGUCUCUUUCCUCUUACUGAAUGAAUAUGAAUUUACUGGUAGAGAAUGGAACCAUGUCCAAAUCUACUGUUCUAGCACCAAGGCAGUAAGGGUAGGCAGGGACCUCAAAUUCCUACAUUAACUGUGAUGACCUAUGGAGCACUGGCUGCUGAGUCCUUUGUCCUCAUUUUUUGAGACAGCAGUGUCCUUAUAAAGAUGAAAUUAAUGAAGUCAUUUAUCCAGUAGGAAUACUUAACAAUAUCUUUUAGGCUAGUCAAAUGAUGCUAUAUGACUUACAGUCAGCUCCACAAAAUUCAUGCUGAUUUCAAUGAGAGAAUGAUUGGUAGAGUAGGAUUUGUUUUAAAGUACUAACUAGAUAGCUGAAAUCAGUUAAGCAACUUACAUAGCAUACACUUACUCUCUGUAGUCAAUAUCCUACAGGGCUGUUUGUCCCAUCCUGACUUAUUUGAAUUCAUCUUUCUCUGCAAAAGCCUGAUUUCUCUACUAAUUUGAAAGAACUCUAGCUGAAAAGAUAAAAAUCAUACAUAACUCCUGGAAAUUUUUAGCAUGGUGCCCUUCAUUCUAGUCCUAAAGAAGGAAGCAAGUCCUAAAGUGGCUUUCACAGAGUACUGAACUCAUUGCAUCCUGGAGCAGCUCUAAUACAGUUGCUGCAGAGAGGCUUGUUCUCCUCAGGGCUCUCACCUCCGUGAGAUGACAGACCUAUGUCAACAGAAUUGAACAAAGGAGUUUUUCAUAUCUUCAUAUCCCAACCACAAUCAAAGAAUACAUUUUGUUGCAUUUUCUUUUCCCUUCUUAUUACCCAGUCCCCUCCCAUUGCACAAAAGCAGAGAUGUUGAAAUUUCAUUGCAUAAUGCUGAAUUUGAAGAAGAGUGCUGAAAAGGAAUUGGUUGAUACAGUGGACCAACUCCCUCAAAAUAAUCAUUGACUCUUGCUUCUGCUGACAGAGCUGAUGGCAAAAAUUGCUGUUAUAUGCAGUCUCAGAUAUUUGUUACCCAGCCCAAAGCUGUUGUGAGGAAUCCUUGAUGCUUGGCCUGGCAAACCCUUCUCCAGCAGAUGGCAUUCAUAGCUUGUUUCUCCUUGAUAAUGCACCAAAACCACACUGGUGGCUAUGCCUAAUCAAAGCUCUCUUGUUUCUGAUCAGUGUGUGUGUUUCAGCUCUGCAGCAAAAAUUUUAACCUGAGAAUCAGUGUCCUAUAAAAUAAUAAAGGAAGAAAACACUAUAAAUAGCACCUGUUUUGUAAAAUUUAGGUGUGUGAUUUUUUCCCUCAAAUUAAAACCUUAGGCUGCUAUCACUUUUAUUUUCUUUGUAUUAUGAUGCUUAUCAAGUGUUCAGGAAAAUAAAAAUGGGUCAUGAAA